rnacentral:rRNA from 1 species
AUUGAACGCUGGCGGCAGGCCUAACACAUGCAAGUCGAACGAGUGGCGGACGGGUGAGUAAUGUCUGGGACACUGCCUGAUGGAGGGGGAUAACUACUGGAAACGGUAGCUACUACCGCAUACCAUCAGAUGUGCCCAGAUGGGAUUAGCUUGUUGGUGGGGUAACGGCUCACCAAGGCGACGAUCCCUAGCUGGUCGGAGAGGAUGACCGGCCACACUGGAACUGAGAAACGGUCCAGACUCCUACGGGAGGCAGCAGUGGGGAAUAUUGCGCAAUGGGCGCAAGCCUGAUGGAGCAAUGCCGCGUGUGUGAAGAAGGCCUUCGGGUUGUAAAGUACUUUCAGCAGGGAGGCGUUACCCGAAGAAGAAGCCCCGGCUAACUCCGUGCCAGCCGCCGCGGUAAUAC